rnacentral:rRNA from 1 species
GAUGAACGCUAGCGGCAGGCUUAACACAUGCAAGUCGAGGGGCAGCAUGAGACGGAGAUUCGUCGAAGUCUUGAUGGCGACCGGCGCAAGGGUGCGUAACGCGUGAGCAACUUGCCCGUUUCAGGGGGAUAACCGGUGGAAACGCCGACUAAUACCCCAUAGCAUUGAUUUCAGGCAUCUUUUUGUGAUUAAAGAAUUUCGGAUAAGGAUAGGCUCGCGUGACAUUAGCUAGACGGCGGGGUAACGGCCCACCGUGGCUACGAUGUCUAGGGGUUCUGAGAGGAAGGUCCCCCANACUGGAACUGAGACACGGUCCAGACUCCUACGGGAGGCAGCAGUGAGGAAUAUUGGUCAAUGGUCUGACGACUGAACCAGCCAUGCCGCGUGAAGGUCACGGCCCUAUGGGUCUUAAACUUCUUUUGCGAGGGAGCAAUAAGGUCUACGUGUAGGCCGAUGAGAGUACCUCGCGAAUAAGCAUCGGCUAAC